GACGAACGCUGGCGGCGUGCUUAACACAUGCAAGUCGAACGAGACGAUUGAAAGCUUGCUUUCGAAAGUCGAGUGGCAAACGGGUGAGUAACGCGUAGACAACCUGCCUUUGAGAUGGGGACAACAGUUCGAAAGGACUGCUAAUACCGAAUGUUGUAUAUUUUCCACAUGGAAGAUAUAUUAAAGAUGGCCUCUAUUUAUAAGCUAUCGCUCAAAGAUGGGUCUGCGUCUGAUUAGCUAGUUGGUGGGGUAACGGCCUACCAAGGCGACGAUCAGUAGCCGGUCUGAGAGGAUGAACGGCCACAUUGGGACUGAGACACGGCCCAGACUCCUACGGGAGGCAGCAGUGGGGAAUCUUCCACAGUGGACGAAAGUCUGAUGGAGCAACGCCGCGUGAGUGAAGAAGGGUUUCGGCUCGUAAAGCUCUGUUGUCGGGGACGAAUGUGCAUUACUUGAAUAAAGUAGUGUAAUGACGGUACCUGACGAGGAAGCCACGGCUAACUACGUGCCAGCAGCCGCGGUAA
rnacentral:rRNA from 1 species